rnacentral:rRNA from 1 species
UACGUAGGGGCCUAGCGUUGUCCGGAUUUAUUGGGCGUAAAGAGCUCGUAGGCGGUUCGGCAAGUCAGCUGUGAAAUCUCCACGCUUAACGUGGAGGGGUCAGCUGAUACUGUCGUGACUCGAGUCCGGUAGGGGAGUGUGGAAUUCCCGGUGUAGCGGUGAAAUGCGCAGAUAUCGGGAGGACCACCAGUAGCGAAGGCGGCACUCUGGGCCGGUACUGAUGCUGAGGAGCGAAAGCGUGGGGAGCGAACCGG